CGUCCCUGCUCGCCGGCGCGCUCCGCCCCAGCAUGUCCCUGUUCGCCGGCGAGCUCGUCCCAGAUUCGUCCCUCAUUGUCCUACUCCUCUUAGACCAGUCGUGCCGCCGUGCCGUGGUCAGGAGAGUCCCCUCCUGUGGCGAUACAGCCGGGCCUCCUGUGCCGAACGCCGGCAGGCCGUUCCCCGCUCGUAUUCGGUAAGGGUUGAGGUCAAGAUCUCGUCGCUGGUGGAUGGCUCACCAAUGGAAUUGGAUAACGGGGCUGGAGAGACGAGUGGCCAGGGGGAUAGGGAUUUAGAUGGAGCUACAGCCUCGGCCAGGGAGAAGCUCGGCUGCUCAGGGAAGGGGUUUCUUCGUGGAGACGGAGCUAGAGGUCAGGGAGGCAUACCAUCCGCGCGCCUCCUGGUCAGAGGCGACCUCGAGCGUGCCCCGCCGGCUGGUGCUCCUCUGCCACACCCAACAGUUUCCCCUCUCCCCGCGUGUGCAGGGCAACACUGACCACGAUGAUUCGGGCCUAACUGGUGUGCUAUAUCCUGUAAUCUUGUUCGCCCAGGCUAGACUGCUUUAAUCUAGAGAAUAAUCCGUGCAGCUUGUCCAGCAUCUAACACUUUGACGGCAAAGUGGAUAUUUUUAAGUACCAACAUUUUUCUGUAAACUGACAUGUGUGAGUUUCUUUCCUAAGCUUAUCUCGAUUACCAGAAUUUACUUUUAAGCUCCGUAGCAAGUUUCCGGUUGCUGUUGAUGACUUGGUCAAGCUUUUCUUCCGGUUCAUAUUAGAUGCUUCUCGUCAACCUAUCGGUGGUCGUAUCUCAGGACAAGUUCCAGAAGAAGAUGGAUUAUACUUUGAUUGACUGUAGCAAUUCAUCUACACAUAUGUUCGAAAAAGCUACGUGAAUUACCCAUACUUUAAGAUGUGUUCGGUUACAGAAGCAGGGUGACGGAACAUAAUGGUUCCAUUCCAACGUCAUGGGAUGGUUCCAACCCCGUCUUCGGUUCAGAAAAAGUCGCGAAGGCUACUGGGCCGGAGUGCAUCAUGCCCAGUCAGCAGGCUCCGCUGCGGCUCAUGAGGAUCAAGGGAAGGUACAUAUGAGAAUGGGGCGGAGAGGCACGCAGCCAAGCAAAAGGCACCUACGAAUUGGGUCAUGUGCACUUUCUCUGAUAUUUUGGAGCUUAUUCCUUUCCAUAAGUAUGUCAUUAUUGUAUUGGGCGAUGCUGACAAUGUAGAAGGCAUGCCGUUUGCUAAUUCUCCCUGCAAGCAUGCAAAGCUUGGUUCGCUUCCAAAUCAACAAGGAGCAUAUGAAUAAGUUUCUACAUACUACAGAGAUAGGUCAUAUCGUGCCAGAAUAUCAAAGUCCGCCUACCGCCUCUGGUUUGUGUUGCACUUUCAUCUCCUUCCCCCCAAUUUAUGUGUGGCCAUCUGAUGUAUUCUGAUGAAUGAGCACUAUGUGUCUAUGUUGUUUUUUUGUCUUUACGGUUUGUAGAAGAAAUUCAUUGCUACUGAUUUCUGCCUCGUGUUUUACAGGUAAUAAACGAGACAGUCUGGUUGGCCAACAUUGCGCCAAACAUUUCUAGGAAGACGCUGCAAGAUGUUCAGUUCAACGUGCGAUUCAUCUGAUCUGUGUUCCAGAGAAAGGUUGGGUGGUGCGGCUGAUUCAGGUUGUGUUGUUUUAACGGAGCAGCAAAAAAUCAAGUUGAUAAUGUGUUGAUAUAUGUUACUACUGGAAUAUCAUCUCUCAUGUAUUAUCUUAUUGGUGAUUCCUAGAUGACAGUGUAAAUAUGAACAAAGAUGCAACCUUGACAAUAUUGCAUAAGAGAUUCAGUUGGAACUCCGCAAAAGAAGGAUUUAGCUGGGAUUUAUGAGCACUGAUGUUAGUAUUGUAUAAAAUUGAAGUGGUAUGCAUCAAAUUUAUUGAAUGUGGCAGAGAAUUAAUUUGCAAGGUCUUGACAUUCUGGAUAUUUUGGGACAUUUGAGUCGGGAGGAUAUGCUUCAAGAGGAUGCAGGAGUUUUUUCUCGAAUGAUGUGAAUAAGUUACAUGAGCUUCAGGUACAGUCAGAUUUUUACGAGAUAUCACACGGUAUAAUACUUUUCACAUUAUUACAGUGGCGCCAUCGAUAGUACACAUGACAAUCUCUAAUACUAUGAAGAGGGAGAUUCAUGAUCUGUCCUGCCCUGCGACCCAAAAAGAUCAUAGCGAAAGAACCAGUUGCAUGUGUGUUCAUGCUAAUGUGUUUCAAUUCGAGCAUGACAAAGUAGUCACCACGGGACAUCAUUGAGGUGUGGAAGGGUUAGGUGAAAGAGGACAACCUCGCCACCAUACCAAGGCCGUCAGCGAGGCCAUGGCUAUGAUGAUGCACCUGCAGAGGGAGAAGGCCCAUGUGUUUGUUUCAGCGAAGGAAUCAACAUGAUAUUCGACGCCGAAGAGAAGGGUUUGAGAUUCACCACAUCUUCUCUCUGCCCGUCUACAUGCCUCAUAUGCUCAGAGUGUUCUUUGCUCAUAGAAGGUUAUAUCAUAAUUUUUAAGAGGAGAAGCGUAUUAUCGUAACAAUAGUAAUUCAUGUUCUCUGCUAGAUUGAACUAUCAAAGUGAUGAACUGUGAAAGCUAUUCUGUUUUUACUUGCAUACAGAGGAGGCUUUUUGCUUAUGGGUUUCUAAAAUACUACUAUUUCCAGGGCCUUUUUGAUGCCUACGGAAAA